GAUGAACGCUGGCGGCGUGCCUAAUACAUGCAAGUCGAGCGAAAAGACGAGGAGCUUGCUCCUCUGACGUUAGCGGCGGACGGGUGAGUCACACGUGUAUAACCUACCUAUAAUACUGAGAUCACUUCGGGAAACCGGAUCUAAUACCGGAUAAUAUAUUGAACCGCAUGGGUCGAUGGUGAAAGACGGUUUUGCUGUCACUUAUCGCUGGAUCCGCGCCGCAUUAGAUAGUUGGUAAGGUAACGGGCUACCAAGGGAACGAUGCGUAGCCGACGUGAGAGGGUGAUCGGCCACACUGGAACGUAGACAGGGUCCAGACUCCUACGGGAGGCAGCAGUAGGGUAUCUUCCGCAAUGGGCGAAAGUCUGACGGAGCAACGCCGCGUGAGUGAUGAAGGUGUUCGGAGCGUAAAACUCUGUUAUUAGUGAAGAACAAAUGUGGAAGUAAAUAUGCACGGCUUGACGGUACCUAAUCAGAAAGCCACGGCUAACUACGUG
rnacentral:rRNA from 1 species